rnacentral:rRNA from 1 species
GAUGAACGCUGGCGGCGUGCCUAAUACAUGCAAGUCGAGCGAACGGACGCGAAGCUUGCUUCUCUGAUGUUAGCGGCGGACGGGUGAGUAACACGUGGAUAACCUACCUAUAAGACUGGUAUCACUUCGGGAAACCGGAGCUAAUACCGGAUAAUAUUUUGAACCGCAUGGUUCAAAAGUGAAAGACGGUCUUGCGGUCUCUUAUAGAUGGAUCCGCGCUGCAUUAGCUAGUUGGUAAGGUAACGGCUUACCAAGGCAACGAUGCAUAGCCGACCUGAGAGGGUGAUCGGCCACACUGGAACUGAGACACGGUCCAGACUCCUACGGGAGGCAGCAGUAGGGAACGUUCGGCAAUGGGCGGAAGCCUGACGGAGCAGCGCCGCGUGAGUGAUGAAGGUCUUCGGAUCGUAAAGCUCUGUUAUUAGGGAAGAACAUAUGUGUAAGUAAAUGUGCACAUCUUGACGGUACCUAAUCAGAAAGCCACGGCUAACUACGUG